rnacentral:rRNA from 1 species
GGCGGCGCUGCUUAACACAUGCAAGUCGAACGAUGAAGCCUUUCGGGGUGGAUUAGUGGCGAACGGGUGAGUAACACGUGGGCAAUCUGCCCUUCACUCUGGGACAAGCCCUGGAAACGGGGUCUAAUACCGGAUAACACUCUGUCCCGCAUGGGACGGGGUUAAAAGCUCCGGCGGUGAAGGAUGAGCCCGCGGCCUAUCAGCUUGUUGGUGGGGUAAUGGCCUACCAAGGCGACGACGGGUAGCCGGCCUGAGAGGGCGACCGGCCACACUGGGACUGAGACACGGCCCAGACUCCUACGGGAGGCAGCAGUGGGGAAUAUUGCACAAUGGGCGAAAGCCUGAUGCAGCGACGCCGCGUGAGGGAUGACGGCCUUCGGGUUGUAAACCUCUUUCAGCAGGGAAGAAGCGAAAGUGACGGUACCUGCAGAAGAA